rnacentral:rRNA from 1 species
UACAGAGGUCUCAAGCGUUGUCCGGAAUUAUUGGGCGUAAAGAGCUCGUAGGCGGUUUGUCGCGUCGAAUGUGAAAACCCGGGGCUCAACCCCGGGCCUGCAUUCGAUACGGGCAGACUAGAGUUCGGUAGGGGAGUCUGGAAUUCCUGGUGUAGCGGUGAAAUGCGCAGAUAUCAGGAGGAACACCGGUGGCGAAGGCGGGACUCUGGGCCGAUACUGACGCUGAGGAGCGAAAGCGUGGGGAGCGAACAGG